CGCAGCCGCGGUAAUUCCAGCUCCAAUAGCGUAUAUUAAAGUUGUUACAGUUAAAAAGCUCGUAGUUGAAUUUCGGGAUCAAUACGUCGGUCGUGCUUCGGUACGUACUGGCGUAAUUGAUUUCUCCCUUCUGACGAACCAUGAUGUCAUUAACUUGGUGUCAUGGGAAAUCAGGACUGUUACUUUGAAAAAAUUAGAGUGUUUAAAGCAGGCUCACGCUUGAAUACAUUAGCAUGGAAUAAUGAAAUAGGACGUUCGAUCCUAUUUUGUUGGUUUUUAGGAUCAACGUAAUGAUUAAUAGGGAUAGUUGGGGGCAUUAGUAUUCAAUUGUCAGAGGUGAAAUUCUUGGAUUUAUUGAAGACUAACUACUGCGAAAGCAUUUGCCAAGGAUGUUUUCAUUAAUCAAGAACGAAAGUUAGGGGAUCGAAGACGAUCAGAUACCGUCGUAGUCUUAACCAUAAACUAUGCCGACU
rnacentral:misc_RNA from 1 species